AUGAAUAGCACAAUGCCUGCAAUCUUGAGCUGGAAUGUACGCGGGCUGAACUCACCGGCAAAGAGGAAUGUUGUGCGUCAGGUUGCUGAAGUGCUGCAAAUUUCCAUCCUCGGUCUUCAGGAAACAAAGCUGGAGACCUGGCAGCAACACACCGUCAGAGAGUUGGGAGGAAACAUGUUGGAUGAUUAUGCCGUCCUCCCUGCCAUGUGCACUAGGGGAGGAGCUGCCAUCUUAUGGAACAAGAGCAGUGUCUCGUUUGCCUCUCAAGCAGUCGGUUGUUUCUCAAUCACUGGCAUGGUCACGGUGCUGCAUGACGGCUCCUGGUUCUGGCUGACUUCUGUAUAUGGUCCUGUGGACGAUACGCGCAAGGAUGCUUUUCUUGCCGAGCUUGCCCAUGUGGCGCCCCCAGCUGGCGAGCCGUGGUUGAUCAAUGGGGAUUUCAACAUCAUCUAUGAAGCUCGAGACAAAAACAACCUCAAUUUGAACAGAAGGAUUAUGGGCAUGUUCAGAACUGCUAUUGACAGGGCAGGCCUCAGAGAAAUCAAGUGU
rnacentral:rRNA from 1 species